GCUUGCUUUGGAUGGGCGUCGACCGGCGCACGGUGAGUAACGCGUAUCCAACCUGCCCACCACUUGGGGAUAACCUUGCGAAAGUAAGACUAAUACCCGAUGAUAUCCCUAGAAGACAUCUGAAAGGGAUUAAAGAUUUAUCGGUGAUGGAUGGGGAUGCGUCUGAUUAGCUUGUUGCGGGUAACGGCCACCAAGGCAACGAUCAGUAGGGGUUCUGAGAGGAAGGUCCCCCGCAUUGGAACUGAGACACGGUCCAAACUCCUACGGGAGGCAGCAGUGAGGAAUAUUGGUCAAUGGGCGAAAGCCUGAACCAGCCAAGUAGCGUGCAGGAUGACGGCCCUAUGGGUUGUAAACUGCUUUUAGGCGGGGGUAAAGUGCCGGACGCGUUCCGGUAUUGCAAGUACCGCCAGAAAAAGGACCGGCUAAUUCCGUG
rnacentral:rRNA from 1 species